rnacentral:rRNA from 1 species
AGAGUUUGAUCCUGGCUCAGGAUGAACGCUAGCUACAGGCUUAACACAUGCAAGUCGAGGGGAAACGACAUCGAAAGCUUGCUUUUUGAUGGGCGUCGACCGGCGCACGGGUGAGUAACGCGUAUCCAACCUGCCCACCACUUGGGGAUAACCUUGCGAAAGUAAGACUAAUACCCAAUGAUAUCUCUAGAAGACAUCUGAAAGAGAUUAAAGAUUUAUCGGUGAUGGAUGGGGAUGCGUCUGAUUAGCUUGUUGGCGGGUAACGGCCCACCAAGGCAACGAUCAGUAGGGUUCCGAGAGGAACGGUCCCCCACAUUGGAACUGAGACACGGUACCAAACUCCUACGGGGGCAGCA